UUAAUUAAAACCAAAAUAGAGGUAUAUCACUGUUAAUGAUAAAAUUGAGACUAAACUCUAAUUAAA
rnacentral:tRNA from 1 species